rnacentral:rRNA from 1 species
AUUGAACGCUGGCGGCAGGCUUAACACAUGCAAGUCGAGCGAGCGGCGGACGGGUGAGUAAUGUCUGGGAAACUGCCUGAUGGAGGGGGAUAACUACUGGAAACGGUAGCUAAUACCGCAUACCAUCGGAUGUGCCCAGGUGGGAUUAGCUAGUAGGUGGGGUAAUGGCUCACCAAGGCGACGAUCCCUAGCUGGUCUGAGAGGAUGACCAGCCACACUGGAACUGAGACACGGCCCAGACUCCUACGGGAGGCAGCAGUGGGGAAUAUUGCACAAUGGGGGCAAGCCUGAUGCAGCCAUGCCGCGUGUGUGAAGAAGGCCUUCGGGUUGUAAAGUACUUUCAGUGAGGAGGCGUUACCCGCAGAAGAAGCACCGGCUAACUCCGUGCCAGCAGCCGCGGUAAUUC